rnacentral:lncRNA from 1 species
GAUCCAUAGGGGUCCCGCUACCCGUUAAUCCUUAACACUUGAAAUCAAAUUCCAGGGCUGUCCCCAUACCCCGUCCGGUAUGGGCGCCAAACCAUAGACCUCAUUACCCCGUCCGGUAUGAGGGUGAAACGGGCCGUCCCCAUACCCCGUCCGGUAUGGGCGCCAAAACACAUAAGAUCUCCAUACCCCGUCCGGUAUGGGAGACCACAAUCCUGGUAGGGUUCCCUACGGACCCGGUCAGUCCACCAUCUCCCAGGAUAUCUAGUCAGGCUGACCACAUUAUACCAUUAUCCAUUUACAUAAUUGUUCAUUCUCUUUUUCCUCAGUCAGCAUCAUUAAUCCACAUACAAGCAAGCAAAA